rnacentral:rRNA from 1 species
AUUGAACGCUGGCGGAAUGCUUUACACAUGCAAGUCGAACGGCAGCACGGGUGCUUGCACCAGGUGGCGAGUGGCGAACGGGUGAGUAAUAUAUCGGAACGUAUCCAAUAAUGGGGGAUAACUAGCCGAAAGGUUAGCUAAUACCGCAUACGCCCUGAGGGGGAAAGCUGGGGAUCGUAAGACCUAGCGUUGAUGGAGCGGCCGAUAUCUGAUUAGCUAGUUGGUGGGGUAAGAGCCUACCAAGGCGACGAUCAGUGGCUGGUCUGAGAGGACGACGAGCCACACUGGAACUGAGACACGGUCCGGACUCCUACGGGAGGCAGCAGUGGGGAAUUUUGGACAAUGGGGGCAACCCUGAUCCAGCAAUGCCGCGUGAGUGAAGAAGGCCUUCGGGUUGUAAAGCUCUUUUGUCAGGGAGGAAACACCGGCUCUAACACAGUCCGGGAAUGACGGUACCUGAAGAAUAAGCACCGGCUAACUACGUGCCAGCAGCCGCCGUAA